AGGAGAGAGCAAUGGAGAAAGGCAGAAGAUGGUUAUCACAGUGUUACUAGAGGGAGAAAGAGAGGAUAGGUGGACGUGGAGAGACAAGAAAGAUGAUGGUGGACACUAAUGAGUUUACAGGGGAAUUUGAGAAGAAAAUAAAGCAUCGCAGUAAGGACACCACAUCGACACUUCAUCAUCGAACUCCCCAAAAGACUUACGUUAUUACCAGAUUUUAAAAAUGUUUGGACUAGUUAAUUAGUUUUUGACAAUAGAAGGAUUAAUUGAUUUUUUUUGAAAACUACAGUGACUAAAAAGGUCAUCGUGGCAGUGCCGUUUGCUGGAUAAUGUACAUUGUUUCCUUCUUUCUAACCAGUCUCUGUCAAACCAAAAAAACCUUACUUUAUAGAACCCCAACAAAGAGAUAAACAAGCCUACGUUUUUCUUGUGCCCCCUUCAAAUAAUAAAAGAAAGAUGCAUCUAUGGCCAACGAUGAGGAUAAGGGAGUCAUUCAAGAUUUCAUAUUUGAAAAAAUAUGACUGGAAUCUUCAGAGAAUGAAUAGUGAAAAGAAGCGGCAGUCUCAAGAAGCCAACGACAACAGCAACCAGCAAAGACUCUUGGAUGAUGCUGGUGAGAACAGCACUAACCAGCAGAAACCAGCAAACAAUUCCAGAGCUGUUUUGAUUUGCAGAGAGAUUCUCAUGGUCAUCACUUGUUGCUACUGUUGCUUCUGUUUUGGAGCCUGUGUUGAUCAAGACGAGGAAUGAUGCUGUUUUGGAAGGGGUUAGGCCACUGAAUCUGCUUUUUGAAGAUAAUAUUUCAGGUGGGACAGGAAUUGUACAGUUUAGCUGUUAGUGUUUUGCUAGUGUUACUGGACUUUAUUCUUAAUAAGAAAUGAAGUGAUUUGUGAUCAAAA